GCUGGCCGUGGCUGCUGUGCUGUUCUGAUGGGAAGGACCCUGAGAAAGAGAAACGAAAAACCAAAUUAAAAUUAUAUCUAAACAUCGCCACGCUCGCAACGCCCAAACCGUUCAACACCUUUCUAAUGACGCCCGGUGUCGCUCGCCAGUACAUUUGCACGGAUUGUGAAAAGUGAAAAUCACUAAAUCUCCCCGCCGGCCAAUCCGGCUCAAAAGCGGGCGUUUGCAGUUUGAUAAACCUGUCAUCCUACCCGCCCUUGCGAAUGGCUCGUAAAUUGGACAAAAAAACACACUCACGGAACAACAACCGUUGCGUGACACCCGGGCGGGAUCAUGCCAGCCGCCCGAAAAGAUUCCACCUGUUGCGCUGUUGGCGGACCGAUUGUCCGUUGGCCCGCCGGUGGGAAUGAUGUGUAGGUUAUAUACCCAAGCGCGACGAGCGUUUAAUUUUUACUUUUUAUACGCGCUGUUGCAGCAUACUAGAGAGGGUUUCCUGCAGCUCGUUUACGCUGCCCAGACGGGGCCAACACAGUGCUUCUCCUCCCAACAAAGCCAUCCAACCGGCCCGCUCGGCUGCUGCUAGAGACAGGCUGGAUUGCUGUCAACUCAUCAAACAAAACAAAAAAGAAGGCGAACAAAAUAUAAACGUCAAAUGUCCAUGCCGAUUCAGUUCGAUCGAUUGACGGAUUUCUAGG